GAGGUGACUUUGAACAGUGAUUCAAAAUAAUCCUUUGUAUGCGGAUUCUCGCUCAAUCAAAACUUAUGUUUUAAUGGGUCGUUGAAUUUUUCAAUCAAGUACAUUGUAUGCGUAAGCAAUAAAUGCUACAUAAUUAUGUAAAUGACAAAUUUAAUUGAAAAACAAUAGAUUAAAUUUUUCAUUACUUUUAAAACGAUUUUCCAAGUAGGAUUUAGCUCAACCUUGAGAACAUACAUUACCCUAAAACUUGAUUGCAAAAUAGGUGGGUAUUUUUUGUAAGUUAUAUAUUUUCUUUUCUUAACGUUUUUCUGUGAUGGGUUUUUGCUCGGAAUGCAUAAAUUGGAUGUUAAUGAAGAUAAUUCAAAUUGGUGCUGUGGUAUCCAUUAAGGACAUUGAUUGAUUACUUCAUGAGGCAGGUUGAAUCAAUUAGCUUUUUGUUGUGAAUGUUUGGUUAUCAUUUUGGGUUAUAGAAUACAACUCGAAGAGAAUACAUAGUUUCUGAAUGGAAAUGGGUAUGUUUUCCACAGUCAUCUCAUUGUCAACAGUUGUGCUGUGUUUAACCAAUUGCAUCACUUAUGCAGUCCCCCCUCCAUAUCAUUACAAAAUGAAAGGUUACCUUAUAAAUUUUUUUUUUUUGAAUAAAAACGAAAGAGUUGGAAUCGCCAGCGAGACAAGGUGCUUUAUAGCCAUGUACCACUCUAAUCCAACAGAUUUUAAGAUAACAAAACGGAAUCAUGUAUACCACGAAUGUUCAUACUAUGCAACUUGUUUAUUUGCCCUCAGACUGAAAUUGGUGAAUAAACCAGUAAUUAUGUGGGCAUUAAACCAUACAAAAUAUGGAACAAAUAAUAUUGUAAGCGGUUUAGAAUUAGAUGGUACUAGAGCUACAUUUGCAGGGGUGUUACCUGAUCUAUGAAGGCGGGGGCGGGGGUGCUGGAAAAAGAGAUGAAAACUGUGCAACAAUAAAAAUCAAAAGCUGCUGAGAAAAUGGAAAAAUUUCAGUUUUUAUCAUUCUCAGUUUCUGUUUUCAGUUUUUAUCAGAAUACCUACCUACCUACUUUGAAUUAAUUGAAAGUUUUCAAUUCAAAAACAUCACUUUUUUUAUUCUCAUUUUCUUAUAAUGAUUGAAAUUUGUAAUUUGGUAUAAUGUUUACAUCAUUAUGUUGGCCAUUCUGUGUACUAUCUUUUCUUUCAUUCUUGUAUUCUUGAAUUAAAUGUACCGGGUGUA